UAUAUAUAUAUAUUUCUAUUCAGGUGAGAACAUGUCUUUAAGUGUGGACGUGAGGACAAAUUAUGGCUGUUGAUUUUGUUAGAUCUAAUGGUUAUUAUUUGUUUUGGUAUAUUUAUUAUU